rnacentral:rRNA from 1 species
GAUGAACGCUGGCGGCGUGCCUAAUACAUGCAAGUCGAGCGAACGGACGAGAAGCUUGCUUCUCUGAUGUUAGCGGCGGACGGGUGAGUAACACGUGGAUAACCUACCUAUAAGACUGGGAUAACUUCGGGAAACCGGAGCUAAUACCGGAUAAUAUUUUGAACCGCAUGGUUCAAAAGUGAAAGACGGUCUUGCUGUCACUUAUAGAUGGAUCCGCGCUGCAUUAGCUAGUUGGUAAGGUAACGGCUUACCAAGGCAACGAUGCAUAGCCGACCUGAGAGGGUGAUAGGCCACACUGGAAGUGAGACACGGUCCAGACUCCUACGGGAGGCAGCAGUAGGGAAUCUUACGCAAUGGGCGAAAGCAUGACGGAGCAACGCCGCGUGAGUGAUGAAGGUCUUCGGAUCGUAAAACUCUGUUAUUAGGGAAGAACAUAUGUGUAAGUAACUGUGCACAUAUUGACGGUACCUAAUCAGAAAGCCACGGCUAACUACGUG